rnacentral:misc_RNA from 1 species
UCUCCGUUGGUGAACCAGCGGAGGGAUCAUUACCGAGUUUACAACUCCCAAACCCCAUGUGAACCUUACCAAACGUUGCUUCGGCGGGAUGCCCCGGGCGCGGGCCGCAAGGCCUCAGCCCCGGAACCAGGCGCCCGCCGGAGGCCCAAACCAAACUCUUGUUUUUGUAGAAUCUUCUGAGUGGCCUUUUAGGCAAAAAAUGAAUCAAAACUUUCAACAACGGAUCUCUUGGUUCUGCCAUCGAUGAAGAACGCAGC